rnacentral:rRNA from 1 species
GGGAGUGGUUUAACGGUGGGCUCCCUCAAAUUCUUGUGCAGCCGAAUACAUUAGCAUGGGAUAAUGGAAUAGGACCCUGUCCUCCUAUUUUCAGUUGGUUUGCCGCGAGGACCAGGGUAAUGAUUAAUAGGGAUAGUUGGGGGCAUUAAUAUUUAAUUGUCAGAGGUGAAAUUCUUGGAUUUAUGAAAGAUUAACUUCUGCGAAAGCAUCUGCCAAGGAUGUUUUCAUUAAUCAAGAACGAAAGUUAGGGGAUCGAAGACGAUCAGAUACCGUCGUAGUCUUAACCAUAAACGAUGCCGACCAGCGAUUAGGAGACGUUGAAUACAAAACACCACCAUGCGCUUUGCGGUCGUCUUUGGGGUCCCUU